GAAGGAGAGUGCAUACCUGUGUGUCAGAGGUAGGAGCUCCCCUUUGGCGAUGAUGGAAAGCACAGCAAAUUCAAAUCAAAGAUGAGAGGGGGUUGCUUUGAAUUGCUGUAUUCCAGAUGUAUCUGAGGCAAUCUCCCUCUUCACUGCACGUAUCGUGGUAGCAAGAGCAAAGAUCACAGCGUAGCCCAGGUUUUCAUUUGAACAUGUCCAGGCUGGCACACAGUUGAGAUAAUUGCUCCACGAAGAACUCAGACUGCACUGAUAAGAAAGGCCAGUUGGUGCAUCUAUUUUAUCCCACCUCCUUCAGCGAAAGAUUAUUUCGAGUAUCUUAUCAGAAAGAAGCAGCCUUUCAAAAGCUGUACCUUGAGGAGUGCCCAGAGUGGUGAUCCAUUCCAGCUCCAGCAGCAGACCCUGUGGAUGUCCCUCCACCUCAUCUCUGGGAACAGAGUUAGUGAUGUUCCCUGGCUGUUUGGUUGCUAUAAAUGAGGACAUUCUCCCCGAAUGCAAGUCAGCCCAGAUGCAGUGCCUGCGUGUCUGCAGUCAGUCUCAGCAUGGUCAGAACAAGAACCAAACAGCUCCACGAUUUGUGCUGCACACAGAGGCCUCUCUCACUGGGGAGCUGCUCUGCACUGCGAUUCUCACCCUCUGCACCGGCAGCAGUAGUGUCCAGACAUGCAGACAAACAUUUGAGGGUGACUUUUUUAGCUCCAUCAGUGCAGGGCUAAGCCUGCCCAAACUGCCUUCUACCAGCCCAGCAACAGUCCCAGCCCACGUGUCAGCAAAUGCUAUAGGAAUCUCUUCUGCUGAGGUGCAGGCUGCAGUUCCUGGUGCUUUUGUUGACUCUGUAGGAGGAGUGUUCGGUCUGCUGCUGUGGUUUUUUUUCUGUGUUGUUUUUUUUUCAGCAGCAGACAAACAGCAUCUCCAUCUUUCCUCCUCACAGCAGAAGAAUCCAUUGAGAUAUAUCUAACUAUUGGUUUUGUCAUUAUCUUUUAUGUAGCUGCCCCACUUUUCUCUUAGAAAUUCAGUCCAUUUGCCUG
ensembl:lncRNA